CGUAAUGGGACGCCUGUAAGUUUACCGUUCCGUUAUCUACAUUCCAUUUAUCGCAGUUAAUUCAUUUUCGUGUGCAUGUCGUCAUUGGCCGGCGGCCAAUCUUAAGGGCUCAACUCCAACUGGUAAAAUUAAAAAUAACCUAUCCAGAAAACACGUUUUUGACAAAAAUUGGACCACCAUCGGGAAGAAAACUCAUUUGUCAUCCAAGCCUUCUAGUCCAAUCUCCCCAAAUUUACAACACAUUUUAGACAAUAAUCCACACAUUAAUCGUUUCCAG